rnacentral:tRNA from 1 species
UAGCUCAGUUGGUAGAGCAGCGGCCUUCCAAGCCGCAGGUCGCGGGUUCGAGUCCC